ensembl:lncRNA
UUUGUAUCCAAUGAUUGUACGUUGGCUAAUAGGACUAAUGGUAGAGGCAGAUUACCCACUCGCCGUCGGAUCCUUACAAGGCACCUCAACCUACAUCCCGGAUGUCUCUUUCUCCUGCAAAUCAUAGGGAUGAGGGCCUUGUCGGGUGUCUGAAGUAAAUCCUUCGCGUCCGACUCGUUAAAGAAAAAAAUCUUCAUCCAGUACGAGGUGAGUAAUCGCUGUUCUGAUAUCCAGAAGCUCUUUUCGGUCAAAACAGACAGUGGCAGAAACAUUCUGUACAAAAUAUGUUACAAAAAAACACACACAAUAGCACAAUUGGCUAAGUGCCCGUAAAACAACAGCCAUCUCCUCCGGCGCCAUUCACUAUCUACAGACAAUGCUUCUACAAAAUGAUAGCAAGGAUGGAGUUUGAUAACAUCUGCAGCUCCACAGUGUGACUUUCACCAUUUUGGAAUGUAAACAAUUCUUCUUCUACAUGGUUUAGCAUAUUAAACGAACGACACACAUCAACACAGGACAGUGGCCCCCAAGUGGUCAACAAUGAAAUUACACAAUAGCCUAAAGGAACUCAAACAUAAAUACCAAAAUUGAGAGAACUUAGGCAAAAAUUCAAGCAAUUUAAAAUGUGUUUGCUCAACUUGUCUCAUGUUCAUUUGAAAUAUAAAUUAUUAUUUGUGCAUCUUUACUAAAAAAGGCUGUGUAACUGGUUACACACACAGAAACAUUGCUUUUAACAUACAAUGUUUUAAACGUACAUAUUUGACACAUGAUUACAUUGUGUGUCAAGGCAGGGUAGCCGGGUAGCCCAGUGGUUAGAGCGUUGGACUAGCAAGUUCAAACCCCCGAGCUGACAAGGUACAAAUCUGUCGUUCUGCCCCUGAACAGGCAGUUAACCCACUGUUCCUAGGCCAUCAUUGAAAAUAAGAAUUUGUUCUUAACUGACUUGCCUAGUUAAAUAAAGGUAAAAUUAAAUUCUACAUUUAUACAAUAAUUAUUGUGUCUUCACCUGGGAUUGUCAUACCCAAGAAGACUCGAGUACAGAGUAAAGGUUCUGAAUACUUAUGUAAAUGUGAUAUUUCUGAGGGGGGGUUUAUUACAUCUGCAAAAUUUCUAAAAACCAGUUUUACCUUUGUCAUUAUGGGGUAUUGUGUUUAGACUGAUGAGGGGGGAAAUCAAUUUUAGAAUAAAGCUGUAACGUAACAAAAUGUAGAAAAAUUCAAGGGGUUUGAGUAUGUAUGUUGAAAACAUUGUAUGUUAAAAGCAUUGUGUGUGUAACUAGUUCCACAGCCUGGUUUAGGUAAGAUGCCCAAUUUAUUUUCACAUGAGACAAUUUCACAUAUGAGACAAUUUGAGCAAAUACAUCAUUUUAAGUUGACUGAAUUUUUUGGCUUACAUUUUCUCAAGUUGAAACUAAGCACACUUUUAUUUCAGGUAUUUUUGGGGGUUCAGGUAAUAAAUACAUGAAAAGUUGAGGAAACAGGCUGUGGAACCACUUACCUUAUUAUAAUUACAUUUAAACUAUGAAUUAUAAACAACAAUUUCUCCAUUUAACUGUUCAACUCUUUCUAACUAAAAUAUUCUCAAGGAAGAGAAGAGAGGUUUUGCACUCCCUCCCUCAGCCCAGCCAACCACCUUUUUAGAGUUAAAGGUCUUCUAAAGGGUUUUAAUAGAUGACAAGAGAGAUUAUCCAGGGCAGGUCAUGACCACAUGGUGUGAGAGAGUGGGACCAGACUACAUGGCAGGAACCCAGUGGUGGCCUGGCCGGCCUGAGCCACACACCAUGACAACAUUCCACACAGCCCAGAGAGAUAAGGAAACUAAUAGUUUCGCUCUACGCUCAGAUGCUCAAAUUAUUUCACUUUUUAUGCACUUGCCCUUGGUUCAAAAUUUCUUGUUUCAGUUCAGUGUUCCUGAUAACACUUUCAGUGAACCAUCUGUGUAAUGGUUAUAUAUUCAUUUACAAUAUACUGUCUAGUAUAAUAUAGUAUUACAGUGGAUUUUGGGGCUUUUAUACACACUGUCAUAAGGAACCAUGAAUUCUUAUGACCCUUUUGCAAUAGGUUUCUGUGGUCCUCAUGUCUCAGAUAAAUAUCUUGGCUAUCUUCCUUUAUAAUAGUAUUCCAUUCAUAUUUUCCCUUAGUAGUGUCCUGUGGUUGGCUGGCCACGCCAAGGUACAUGGUCGACUUUUUAUUCAUUCACAUUAUUAGACACACUUUCUGAUAAUAAAAUUAGCGUAAAUCGUAAAAUUCAGAAAAAUGAAAACGGAAUUUGGGAAAAACUAUAACGAAUUUCAUAGGGCUCAACAAAGUGUAUUGUAUACUCCGCUUUUAAUAACCCACCUCAGAUGUUAUACCUACUUGGUACUACUGUAUGUGUUGCCUGUUUCACAGUUUGUUUUGUUCAAAUCACAUGCUUGAGUAUUUCAAAUAAAAGCCAUUGGCAGUGAGUGUCCUGAAAUGACAACCCAAGCGACUUUCAAAAGCCCAUUUAGCGUGACUCAUUUUACGGUGCAUGUGCACUAGAUAGCGGUAAAUUGCAGCGUGUCGCUUAGGCCGCCCAUUGUGACUCGCUUGUGGGCGUGCUGGCAGCAUAUAGCAGCAUGUUCGAUUAUGCGUCAAGAAUACAGCAUAGCAAGUUUGUAUGAAGGUCUGGUUAGUAAAUGGGUACAUGGUUCAAUAGUAAUAUCCUCUAAAACGCACUGGUGACAAACAAACUUUGCUGCCCUGUUUCCAAUUGUCCACAUGGCAGGGAGAACCUAUUCAAGUAAGUAAAUACAUUUCGAAAAUGUAGAAGAAACCUAUGUAUUAUUAGCUAACUAGCUACAGUGCAGGCUAACUCAAAUGAGCUAGCUCACUAUCUAGCCAACUUCACAUACUGUGUAGAUAGGUAGCUGGUGAUAUUUAAUUCAGUUAGCUAGCUAUGUAUCUUGAUGUAUUUAUCACUGUAAAAAAACAAACUCCAACUGCACUUGUAGGUAACGUUAGCUAGCUAACAGCCAUGGAGGAGGGUGAAAGGAUAGGAUAUUUAUGUAUUAACUGUCAAAGUGAGAGAAUAGGCUAUUCAGGAUAGGGCAGGUACUUUUGUGUAGUUCCUGUCCCUAGAAGUGAGGACGGAGAUAAUAGUAACAUAAUAUUCAGUGGGGUGUAAUUUGACUAUAAUGAAGUCUGUUUCUUGUGAGGUUGUCUGUCCUCAGAUAAAGAGCUAUGAAAGCCUACAUGUCUACAUGUGAAGAGCAGUGGUUCUCAAUCCCGGUCCUGGGACUCAAAGGGAUACCUUGUAACUGGAGAUUCCUUCAAAACGAUUGACUACAGUUAUCGUGUAGGGCACUGCAAGGUUGGGUGACCAGGACCAUUUGGGACUGCCUCCUGGAGGAAUUCAGCAUAAAGUAUUCUGCAGCCACUUAGUGUGGUGUGAACACCAGGUUAUAUCAGCUGUGUCGGUCAACCCCUCCCACAUCUGAACUGGCUACAUAGAGGGCACAGCAUGAUCAGAGUUAUGUUUUGAUGUGAGAGAGGAUGCCAACCCCCAGUCCCAUCAUCGCCACCUCACCUGCUUUUAAGAUAACCUUCGGGCCGACGAGACACUAGUAUGUAAUUGUGAUGAACUGAGAAUAUUUGGGUAGCACUGAUUUAUGAAUCAUAUCCCUGCUCCUAUGUUCUUAUCUCUUUCCCUUUCUGUCUUUUACACCUUUCUCGCCACCUCCUUUCUUCCUCUGUUUUUAUAAUGCACAACAGAUGUGCAUUGAAGUAUAGAUUGAAUUUGCAUUGAUAUUAUAAUUGUAAUAUAUUAUAAAUACAUGUAUUUAUAACACUUGGAUAAUGAACAUAUUUCAAUAAAGUGUUUCACAUUCUC